GGGGAUCAGUUACUGAGGGUGAAAGCAACUGGCAAGCUGAUGUGGAAUUUGAGCUGAAGUGCAUGGCACAUCCCCUUGCCAUCUCUUAUGGAAUAACUUCACUCAGGAGGGAAUGUGCAUGGCUUUAGUCCAACCUCAAAGCAAGCUUGGCUUUAAAACUCUGAUGAGGCUGCUCAGAGCCUUGACCAGGUGGACUUCUUGCUGCAGACUGUGACCCUGGACACCCCAGACCCUUGUCCUUGCACUCUGCACCUUGUUUGGCUCUAUACUUCCCAGUAGCUACUCUUCAUGGCAGACUGAUUUAGUUGUGGCCAUUAAUGAGGCAGGAACUAUAAAAUACGUAGUUAGUUUUAUUUCUGGAAAGCCCUGCCCACAACUAUAUACAAAUUAGAUAACUUUGGGUUCUAAUUAGGUCAGGGAGAAUCUUCACAAGGAUGCUUAUGGGCAAUUCAGUCAUUUAGGAGAAUCAGAAAAAUGGGAAAAGCUUAGCCACAAAAUGGCUUUGCUCCACUUACAAAUGAAAGGCAGCCUGAAGCCCUAGGCAGUGUCUGUUCACUCACUGUGGUGGGGUGGGAAUUUCUCCUCCCUGGCUCCUUUGUGGCAAUGGUGGAACUGCUUGGCUGUUUAGAGGCUUCCAGAUCUUCCCAGGGUGCUGGGAAAGAGGCAGAUGAUCUCUGACCUGGUCCUAGUUCCUCUUGGCAUGGAGGUUUGCAGAGGUGCAGGCAGCAUCUCUUGCAGAUGUGCAAAGAGCACCAUGGCAGUGGAACUUCUUGCCAUGUGGUGAGGCACUUAAAUGCCUUCUCCUGGGAAACUUGAGGCACUUAAGUAUCCAGCUAGUUCAAGCCCAAAACCUAGCUGGUCUGAAGCAUGAGGCAGAGCAGAACUGUCCAGUAGCAGUGAGGCAGAAGCAGCUCAACUGCUUGCAGCUCAGCUCAAUUUAUAUUACUUGCUGGAGUAAAAUGGCUCUUUUAGCCACAGAGAUUCACCAAUCAAAAUGGCAAUCACCAGUGCAAAACUGACCCUAUUAGGUGAAACCAGGGCUUGCCCACCCUUAUUUGGGCAAGGCACCAACAAGGACCUAAACACCUGCUUAUUACUUUGGGAGGUGACAUAAUGGCCCCAGCCUUUGUUUUCCUUCUGCCCUUGAUUUCCCCCAUCAGCAGAAGGAUGGGGCAAGCCAGGACAUCUAAUAGGCCUAGUAGCCUUCCAGCACACAGACCCUCUGUACAAAACACACCAUGAUCACUGAGAGGUGUUGUCCAGCUGAGAGCAAGUGCUCAGAGAUGGUGCUUCAGCUGGGACUGUGCCACCCCAUGAGCCUUGAACCCCAGAGUGGGGCACUUUCCCUACCUGCAUCCAGGCAUUUGAUCCUGCCCCCAGACAUGUGUCACUCCUGGAAUGUCCAGGUUGUCACACCAGUGCAACACACACCAGUCUCCCAGAUAAAACAGCACUGAAAAUGCUCCUGAGGGGGAGGUGCAAAGCAGAGGCUCAAACUGUUAAAUAAAAGCCACAAGAUCUGGACUGACCCUCAGGAAGACCCCAGUGAGCUUGCAGGAGCUGCCAGGCAGAGCAUUUGGGCUAGCAGUGCCUUCUGCUGCUAAACCCCUUCUGCAGGCAGGGAGAGGCAGUUUUGUUUGCUGCUUGAACUGGGCACUUCUCCAAGUCUCCUGUUGUCAUUUUAGGUCAACAGGAUAACAACUGUGAAAUAAAUUGGGCUGCAUCAAGAUGUUUAAUUUUCAACAGAACAGCCUUUGUUAGAGUUGCCUUAAUGAUGGCAAGGCUAACUUCCAGCUGAUUAAGAGAGAGAAUGAUGAUCCUGCAUGCAGGAAUGUGUGCAUCAGUUCAUGAGCAGUGCAAAGACAUGAGGGGGAAAAAAAGGUUCUAGGUGCCUCAUAUCAAAUGCUGCAUGAAAAAUGUCUCCAGAACCUGUGGGUUGUUGCUGAAUGAUGUCAAGGGACUGACCUUCCAUUGUAACUGGGAUGGGAACACACUCUUCUUUGAUCCAGUUCAGUCGUUUACCUCCCUGCAUUUCUAAGCUAAGACACUUCAAGAGCGGUUUCUAAGCCCUGUGCCAGAUGGGGCCAAUGAGAGGAAGUGAACACUGGCAAGAAGCACCAAGCAGCAGGUGUGCAGUUUCCUUACUUAACUGAGUGGUGCCUGGGGGAAUUCAAGCUCCUUGGAGAACAAGGAGAGCAGGAGUAUGCAAGGAUUAAGGUAUUAUGGAGCACAUCAUGGGGAAUGAAUGAAGUGAUUGCAGAGAAGGAAGAAAGAGGAAACUAAACGUGUGCUUACAGGUAACAUAAUGGGGAGCACUAAGAAAAUGGUGAGCUGUGCAUCUA